AGUGAACGCUGGCGGUAGGCCUAACACAUGCAAGUCGAACGGCAGCACAGUAAGAGCUUGCUCUUACGGGUGGCGAGUGGCGGACGGGUGAGGAAUACAUCGGAAUCUACUUUUUCGUGGGGGAUAACGUAGGGAAACUUACGCUAAUACCGCAUACGACCUACGGGUGAAAGCAGGGGAUCUUCGGACCUUGCGCGAUUGAAUGAGCCGAUGUCGGAUUAGCUAGUUGGCGGGGUAAAGGCCCACCAAGGCGACGAUCCGUAGCUGGUCUGAGAGGAUGAUCAGCCACACUGGAACUGAGACACGGUCCAGACUCCUACGGGAGGCAGUAGUGGGGAAUAUUGGACAAUGGGCGCAAGUCUGAUCCAGCCAUACCGCGUGGGUGAAGAAGGCCUUCGGGUUGUAAAGCCCUUUUGUUGGGAAAGAAAAGCAGCAGGUUAAUACCCCGCUGUUCUGACGGUACCCAAAGAAUAAGCACCGGCUAACUUCGUG
rnacentral:rRNA from 1 species